AUUGAACGCUGGCGGCAUGCUUUACACAUGCAAGUCGAACGGCAGCGCGGGCUUCGGCCUGGCGGCGAGUGGCGAACGGGUGAGUAAUACAUCGGAACGUGCCCAGUAGUGGGGGAUAGCUCGGCGAAAGCCGGAUUAAUACCGCAUACGACCUGAGGGUGAAAGCGGGGGAUCUUCGGACCUCGCGCUAUUGGAGCGGCCGAUGGCAGAUUAGCUAGUUGGUGGGGUAAAGGCCUACCAAGGCGACGAUCUGUAGCUGGUCUGAGAGGACGACCAGCCACACUGGGACUGAGACACGGCCCAGACUCCUACGGGAGGCAGCAGUGGGGAAUUUUGGACAAUGGGCGAAAGCCUGAUCCAGCAAAUGCCCGCGUGUGUGAUGAAAGGCCCUUUCGGGGUUGUAAAAGC
rnacentral:rRNA from 1 species